rfam:Gossypium hirsutum cultivar TM-1 chromosome 9, whole genome shotgun sequence
UGUUAAAAUUUUUAUCAUUUAUACGGUUAAAAACUAGUGUGUUGACGGAAUAACAAAAAAGUGACAUGUGGUAUGUCACGUGUACCUAAUUUUGAUGUACAAUGAUCAAUUUUUAACGGUAAAAAUAAAUAAAAUUUUUAACC